rnacentral:rRNA from 1 species
AUACAGCAGUGGCAGACGGGUGAGUAACACGUGGGAACCUUCCUAGGGGUACGGAACAACUCAGGGAAACUUGAGCUAAUACCGUAUACGUCCGUGAGGAGAAAGUUUUAACGCCCCUAGACGGGCCCGCGUAGGAUUAGGUAGUUGGUGAGGUAACGGCUCACCAAGCCUACGAUCCUUAGCUGAUCUGAGAGGAUGAUCAGCCACACUGGGACUGAGACACGGCCCAGACUCCUACGGGAGGCAGCAGUGGGGAAUCUUGGACAAUGGGCGCAAGCCUGAUCCAGCCAUGCCGCGUGAGUGAAGAAGGCCUUCGGGUUGUAAAGCUCUUUUACCAGGGACGAUAAUGACGGUACCUGGAGAAUAAGCCCCGGCAAACUUCGUGCCAGCAGCCGCGGUAAUACGAAGGGGGCUAGCGUUGUUCGGAAUUACUGGGCGUAAAGCGCACGUAGGCGGAUUGUUAAGUCAGAGGUGAAAUCCCGGAGCUCAACUUCGGAACUGCCUUUGAUACUGGCAAUCUCGAGUCCGGAAGAGGUUAGUGGAAUUCCCAGUGUAGAGGUGAAAUUCGUAGA